rnacentral:rRNA from 1 species
GACGAACGCUGGCGGCGUGCCUAAUACAUGCAAGUAGAACGCUGUUGCGAACGGGUGAGUAACGCGUAGGUAACUGCCUCAUAGCGGGGGAUAACUAUUGGAAACGCUAGCUAAUACCCAAUACUGUGAGAUGGCCCUGCGUUGUAUUAGCUCGUUGGUGAGGGACAGGAUCACCAAGGCGACGAUACAGAGCCGACCUGAUAGGGUGAUCGGCCACACGUGUACUGAGACACUGCCCAGACUCCUACGGGAGGCAGCAGUAGGGAAUCUUCGGCAAUGGACGGAAGUCUGACCGAGCAACGCCGCGUGAGUGAAUAAGGUUUUCGGAUCGUAAAGCUUUGUUGUUAGAGAAGCGGUAUCUAACCAGAAAGGGACGGCUAACUACGUGCCAGCAGCCGCGGUAAUUC